CAAACUCUGGAACUCCGGCCGUACCGAUUAGUUCAGCAGCCUCAGUCCUAUGCUGUUUGCUAACUGUCCGUCCAUCGAUCAUUCCACAGUGCUCCGUGCGUGCGUGAUGGGAAGCAGGAACGUUAGUCACCACGUAUAGACAUGGCCUAGGUGGUGGUGGCACGUGGGGUGGGUGACUGUAGUGGCGCGUGUUGCGGCGUGAUAUCGAUGUAAAUCGAUCCACGGUGAGUGAGAGAGGGAGCGGUACCUAGCUCAUGGUACAUGGUAGCAUCGAGAUAUAUAUUGGGCCACCAAGCAGGUCUCAGAUCGAGGUAGGUAAUCGUAGGUAGAGGCCGAUCGUUGUGUUUGCUGGAAGAGAAAGAGGAGAAAGAAGUCCCAUCAGCCGGCCUCAGGCCCUGCUUCGGCCGCCGCUUCUGAGGUUUCUCCUAGUAGUAGUCAAGUAGCGUGUUUAGCUGGUCGGUACACAUUGUUGUCGCCGCCGGCGCCGCCCCGCUACCGCCGAGCCUUCCCCGGCACCUGCCUCUUGCUCCUGCGGGUUGACCAUACCAAGCACGCGAACGAGCCGCUUGCGGCAACCCUAAAGAAUCGAGUCCAGAGUCCAGAGGCCGCGUGGCCGUUCUCGACGGCGGAGGCGACCCAGUUGAUGGAGGUGGGCCCGGAGUUCGCGCCUGCGUAGUGGCGGCUGCUCCUCGCCGAGUAGGAGUCGGAGGUGCGGCUCACCCCGAGGGCCACCAGGUCCUAGCGAUCCUUCGAGGGGCCGGCGUGGCUGUUGCUCUAGUUCUUGAUGACCUCCUGCGUGUACUCCUUCUUCCGGGUCCUCCUCUUCUACGACCGGUUCUUCUUCCGGAGUAGGAGCGGGAGGAGGAGGAGGAGGAGCUGGUGCAGCGACUGGACGAGCCGGAGGGGGUGCCGGUGCAGCAGGAGCCGCCGGUGGUGGCUCCGCGGGGUCCUCUCGUGAUGAUGAUCGUACCUGCUGCUCCGGCUCGUCCUCCGGUGGUGCAGCCGCUCGCUCCUCUUCUUCCGCCUCCACCACGUCAUGACGAGGCGGCACCUGUACCUGGUCGAGACCUUGCUGUAGCGGCGCAGCCUCUCGAUGGGCCUCUACUACUACUCGACCCCGCGUCGGCCGGUGCACCGGUACGGGCGGGGGCGACACCUCGGGAGCAGCGGCCACACCCUCAAGACGCUCCUAAUGAGGGACACCUCCUAGCUGCUGGUUCUCAUGAUGUUGUUCUAGCUAGUUGUGCGAGACUUAACUCUCCGAAAGCAAUGCAAAGAGAACAACAAGAACAAGAAGGAUCGAUCGAUCGAAUUAACGUACAUAAUGAUAUAUGAUUAAGUACGUACAUUAAUAUACAUUUUGAACUCAACACUCUAAUAUAACCACUGUCGAAAAACGCGUGUACACAUUCAGUGAUUAAUAGUAUAAAGACCUCUUAGACAACGUUUUA
rnacentral:rRNA from 1 species